rnacentral:misc_RNA from 1 species
AACGCAAAUUGCGCCUUCUUUCGGAAGGCAUGUCUGUUUGAGGGCACCAUUUAACAAAUAAUGUGCGCGUCGUUUACGGGCGACGUGCGCACGUUGAUGAGCUUUUCCGAAAAAACCAGGUUUUUUUGGUGGCGCAUAAUGAACAGCGUGGGCUUUUUCUUCGAUUCUCGUGUAGUAAAUGUUCAACGCUUGGGUUGAGAAAAAGUGCGUGCCGCGCAAUGGGUGUGGCGAAUUUUAACCCUGCCCCAAUGCCACUCUUUCCCUGCGAAAGAACAAUCUUUUAUUCAGGGCCUCAAAUCAGACAAGAGUACCCGCUGAACUUAA